rnacentral:rRNA from 1 species
AUUGAACGCUGGCGGCAGGCCUAACACAUGCAAGUCGAGCGGAGCGGCGGACGGGUGCGUGAUGGCUAGGAAUCUGCAUGGUGGUGGGGGAUGACGUUCGGAAACGGGCGCUAAUACCGCAUACUAUCAGAUGAGCCUGGGUGGGAUUAGCUAGUUGGUGGGGUAAAGGCUUACCAAGGCGAAGAUCCGUAACUGGUCUGAGAGGAUGACCAGUCACACUGGAACUGAGACACGGCCCAGACUCCUACGGGAGGCAGUAGUGGGGAAUAUUGCGCAAUGGGCGAAAGCCUGAUCCAGCCAUGCCGCGUGAGUGAAGAAGGCCUUCGGAUUGUAAAGCACUUUAAGUUGGGAGGCGUUACCAACAGAAUAAGCACCGGCUAACUUCGUGCCAGCAGCCGCGGUAAUUC